UACGGAGGAUCCAAGCGUUAUCCGGAAUCAUUGGGUUUAAAGGGUCCGUAGGCGGUUUAAUAAGUCAGUGGUGAAAUCUGGUCGCUCAACGAUCAAACGGCCAUUGAUACCGUUAGACUUGAAUUAUUGGGAAGUAACUAGAAUAUGUAGUGUAGCGGUGAAAUGCUUAGAUAUUACAUGGAAUACCAAUUGCGAAGGCAGGAUACUACCAAUGGAUUGACGCUGAUGGACGAAAGCGUGGGGAGCGAACAGG
rnacentral:rRNA from 1 species